rnacentral:rRNA from 1 species
GGUUGUAAACUCUUUUCUCAAGGAGGAAGAUCUGACGUUACUUGAGGAAUAAGCAUCGGCUAACCCUGUGCCAGCAGCCGCGGUAAUACAGGGGAUGCAAGUGUUAUCCGGAAUUAUUGGGCGUAAAGCGUCUGCAGGUUGAUAUUUAAGUCUUUUGUUAAACCUUCGGGCUCAACCCGGAAUCUGCAAAGGAAACUAUAUAUCUUGAGUAUGGUAGGGGUAAAGGGAAUUUCCAGUGGAGCGGUGAAAUGCGUAGAUAUUGGAAAGAACACCAACAGCGAAGGCACUUUACUGGGCCAGUACUGACACUCAGAGACGAAAGCUAGGGGAGCAAACANGGAUUAGAUACCCUGGUAGUCCUAGCUGUAAACGAUGGAUACUAGAUGUUGUGUACCUUCGGGUAUGCAGUGUCGUAGCUAACGCGUUAAGUAUCCCGCCU